UACGGGGGGAGCAAGCGUUGUUCGGAUUUACUGGGCGUAAAGGGCGCGUAGGCGGUCAGCACAAGUCAGUUGUGAAAUCUCCGGGCUUAACUCGGAAAGGUCAACUGAUACUGUGCGACUAGAGUGCAGAAGGGGCAACUGGAAUUCUCGGUGUAGCGGUGAAAUGCGUAGAUAUCGAGAGGAACACCUGCGGCGAAGGCGGGUUGCUGGGCUGACACUGACGCUGAUGCGCGAAAGCGAGGGGAGCGAACGGG
rnacentral:rRNA from 1 species